AUGGAGAGCUCCUCCUCGUCUCUGUUGCUGAGUUCGUACGCGGGCAGCAACAAGAGGGCCAGGGGUGCCGACCUUGAAGUUGUCUCGUCCGCUGAGGCGGAAGCCGCCAAGAGGAUGAGGCCCGAGGACCUACUGGACCUGCUCGACGACGACACCAACGCCGCGGCGGCCGGCGACCUGGCGUCCGUCAUGCGGAGCCUUGAGGAGGAGAUAUGCGCCGACGACCUGACGCCGCCUCAGCCAGAGCUAGGCUUCCUGCUCGAGGCCUCGGACGACGAGCUCGGCUUGCCGCCGGCGGCCGCGGCGUCCUCCUCGUCGGACGACGCCGAGGGCUGGGAGCCGGAGGUGACCGCCGGCGUGUUCGGGGAGCAGAUAUGGAGCUUCGAGGACGAGAUUGAGGGCGCCUACGCCUUCGGCGGCGUUGCCUACUCGCCGGAGGCCGCCGCGGCGACCGCAGCGGCCGAUGCUGAGUGGGGCGACGACGGCUUCGACGCCGGCCUGUUCGGCUUCGGCGACGAGUCCUUGGGGCCGUCCGAUGUCGACGUGCUUCGCCAGGAGACCAUGCCCGCCGUUUGA
rnacentral:rRNA from 1 species